UUUUCCUACGGGGGGCAGCAGUGAGGAAUAUUGGUCAAUGGUCGGGAGACUGAACCAGCCAAGCCGCGUGAGGGAUGAAGGUACAGAGUAUCGUAAACCUCUUUUGUCAGGGAACAAAGGCGGGGACGUGUCCCCGGAUGAGUGUACCUGAAGAAAAAGCAUCGGCUAACUCCGUGCCAGCAGCCGCGGUAAUACGGAGGAUGCGAGCGUUAUCCGGAUUUAUUGGGUUUAAAGGGUGCGCAGGCGGUCUGUUAAGUCAGCCGUCAAACGCCGGGGCUCAACCCCGGCCCGCCCGUGCAACUGGG
rnacentral:rRNA from 1 species